rnacentral:tRNA from 1 species
GAAUUUUUGUAGUUGCAGCAUUUGGUUUACACCCAAAGUGUCGGGAGUUCGAGUCUCUCAUCGCCCACCA